GUAGGUGGCAAGCGUUGUCCGGAAUUAUUGGGCGUAAAGCGCGCGCAGGCGGUUCUUUAAGUCUGAUGUGAAAGCCCACGGCUCAACCGUGGAGGGUCAUUGGAAACUGGAGAACUUGAGUACAGAAGAGGAAAGCGGAAUUCCACGUGUAGCGGUGAAAUGCGUAGAGAUGUGGAGGAACACCAGUGGCGAAGGCGGCUUUCUGGUCUGUAACUGACGCUGAGGCGCGAAAGCGUGGGGGAGCAAACAGGAUUAGAUACCCUGGUAGUCCACGCCGUAAACGAUGAGUGCUAAGUGUUAGGGGGUUUCCGCCCCUUAGUGCUGCAGCUAACGCAUUAAGCACUCCGCCUGGGAGCACGGCCGCAAGGCUG
rnacentral:rRNA from 1 species